rnacentral:rRNA from 1 species
UACAGAGGUCUCAAGCGUUGUUCGGAUUCAUUGGGCGUAAAGCGGGUGUAGGCGGUUCCUUAAGUCAGAUGUGAAAUCCUGCGGCUCAACCGCGGAACUGCAUCUGAUACUGGGGAACUUGAGGACGGUAGAGGUCGGUGGAAUACCCUGUGUACCGGUGAAAUGGGCAGAUAUAGGGUGGAACACCAGUGGCGAAGGCGGCCGACUGGGCCGAUCCUGACGCUGAGACCCGAAAGCCAGGGUAGCGAACCGG